UGACCUCGGAUCAGGUAGGAAUACCCGCUGAACUUAAGCAUAUCAAUAAGGCGGAGGAAAAUUGCUGGAACGCAACCUGUCACUCCAAAACCGACUAACCUUUAACACUGUGGCCCCCUGUAGGGACCCUAUAGGCGGAGGU
rnacentral:rRNA from 1 species